GGAUUACAGUUCCUGGAAUUAGAGUUUCCAUCUGAACAAUUCCCUUCAUCUGACAUUCGUCAAGCCACUCCAUGCAUUUGAAGAAGCUGCAACUCACAAACGCUGCUGCCUUUUAAUAAAUGUUGAUAGCUAGAAAAGCUGCUACCAAGUUUCUCCGCAAUAUUUUGCUACCAUAAAUUAAUCCAGGUCUCCUCCUACAAUUCCAGCUGGUGGCUCUACAGGAAAAAAUAUUAUUGUAAUCAUAAUUUAUAGUCAGUCUGUGGAAUCUUCUUGCAGCAGUUAAGUAUUAUGAUUAUAUACCACAAUGUGAAAGCAUAGGUGCCUUUAGCUGAUGUUGGCCUCCAUACACACCGAGUUCCUCCCAAGAAUCGAGUAUGUCGUAAUUAUCGGCGUAGUCUCUGGGCUGAUCCAAGCAGAGCGGGGCCUUUUGGAAUUGAUAGAUGGAAAUGUUGUCAAUGCCCAGAUUUUCUAAGCGCUGUCCAAGAUUUUGGGGUAUGGCACCCAGUGAGCUGAUAAACCCUGGGACCACCACAGCCAGUUUAUGCCAUGAUCUUUCAAGUCUGAUUUUCUGUGAUGUUCUCCAAUUCUCUGCCAUCCGUUCCACUGGUAUUUGCCACAUCAAUGCUCUACGCUUCCUUCUUUGCAGCCACAGUUCAAUCCGAUGUGCUACGUGCCAAGACUUUAUCAGUUUGUAUUUGGAACUAUUAUUUGUACUUGGUGAGUCUUCUCCAAUCCAAGCCAGCAAUCCCUGCCUGUACGGCCCACCGUUCUGCUAACUCAGACUGACGAAUGCUGAUGAUGGUGAUGAUUAAAUCCCAUCCUGCCUUUGUGUCCUCCUGGCCCUUUGUACCCUGGCAAUCCACAGGGAACCAACUUGAAGGAAGCUGAACUUCCCUUUUGCACUUGGGUUUUUUUCCCCCCAAGCUGUAAAGCCGCAGCACUGAGCAAGCUUGAUCCCAGGAGUUAUUCCCUGUUUGACAGGAAUAGGAAAUGAAAUGGUUCUGCAAAAGCACAAUAAGGCCUGUAAAUCAGUCUGGAUUUUGAGCAUUGGAAAGACAGGAUGGGACACUUUUUAAGUAUAAACAACUACACCCGUUUGCUCUGCCUUUUCUAGUUGCUACUGAAAUAUCUCCAGCCUCUGAAUUUACCUUCCCUCCUACUUCAUCAAGAUCCUUGCUGGCAUCUUCCAUGGAUGUUACUUCGGGGCAGGCCACGCCAGAGAAGAAAUUCCAGGACAGGGACUAGUUUGAAAUCCCCUGCAAUCAUGCAGAUGUGAUCAAGCUUGAUGGGGAGAGAUGCCAAAGCAAGACAUCCUACAAUUCCGUGGCAACAGUGGGCUGGAUGUGAGUGGAAUGAUGGAGAUGCAAAAUGGCUCAUCAAAUAGCUGCCUUCCAGCUCUGGGUCAAGUGAGAAGACAAAUAUCCUCUACUUGUAAAGUCACCAGUAACGUGUAUCACUAUUUAGAAGAAAAAAUUGCAGCCUUUCCAAAUUCUUUGAUGCAGCUCAGGGACAAUCUUGAAUUUACAGCAUUUUUGUCUUGAAGGAAGCCUGCUUGAGGAGCGCAACUCCUGGAACUGCUGGAAUAUCUUGUCGGCAGGGUUCCUGUACUGUUUUCAUGCAUCCUGUGAAGAUUUGCUCUUGCCGGCAGGGAGAGCCUGUUUAAUCCCUGAAAUAUUUAUAUCUAUUAAUCCAAUCUGGAAUACAAACGAGCAGCGUUAUUAAGGAGGUUUUUAUGGUUGGGUUGUCAAACAAGAUUGUUACAUCUGUUUAAGCAGCAAUUUAAAAGCACUUCAGGCGCUCAAAUCUCUCAUCACCUCUCCCCAAAUUUAUCUUGUGGCAGCCCUCUUUCUUCCAGAUACCGAAGCCACGGUUUGCAGGGUUUAGAGGGGCUGAGGAAAGGGGGCGUAGUCCAAGACUCCUGGAGGGAAGAGGAGAAAGAAGCUUGGCAUGGAAAAAGUGGGGGGAAUCCGGACCCCAGUCCACACACAGUCCACCCCUAGGGGCUGUGAUGGCCUUGAAGUAGGUGCUUUCUCUCCAUUAAAAGGGUGGCGGAGAAGGUCACCUCCAACAUGGUGAACAUUGUAAGGCAGUUGAGUUGGAAACCAAAAUCUCACCAACCAGCAGCAACCAUUUGGGUGGCAAGGCAAGAUCACCUCCCUGGUAAUCCCCUCCCCUCCCGCUGUUGGCUUUGCUGAGAAAAUAUCCAAAGUGAGACAGAGUUGUGUGGGUUGUAGUCUUUAGGAAUAUUUUUACAGAGCUAUUUCCCCCCCCCCCAAAGGACCACCACUGCAGAAUUCACAUGGGGGACAUCAAAAGCGACGGAGGAAAAGGGUGAAAGGUGAUUAAGGAAGGCGAUGGAAGCAAUUUCACUUAUUCGACUAAAAGACCUUGCUGAUUGCGGCUGGAUACUAGAAGCUGCACACCCAUGUCGUUUUCCUAGCCAUAGGAUAGAAAGAGUUGGCACUGGAUAUUCCUGAAGGUUGUGUUUGAGCAUCCUGACAGCAACCCUAACCCUUUCCUAUCACACAAAAGCAGGACAAAGGGGCCCAAUUUUUGAUUAUGGUUCCUUUGAAUCAGUAAGAUGAAAGGAUCCUAAUUGAAAGUUAUGAACUAUCCUCUAAAAUGCUGGUCUAAUGCUGGUUGAGCGACAGACGUGGCAGUCUAGGACUAAGAGAGAGGGCAGCGUCUGUAUCUAAGGGAGGACCAGAACCUGGGUUAUCUCUGCUCCUAGUCCAUCACCUUAACCAUCAUCGCUUGCUCUUAAUUUUGCACACAA